AUUGAACGCUGGCGGCAGGCUUAACACAUGCAAGUCGAGCGGAGAUGAGGUGCUUGCACCUUAUCUUAGCGGCGGACGGGUGAGUAAUGCUUAGGAAUCUGCCUAUUAGUGGGGGACAACAUUCCGAAAGGAAUGCUAAUACCGCAUACGCCCUACGGGGGAAAGCAGGGGAUCUUCGGACCUUGCGCUAAUAGAUGAGCCUAAGUCGGAUUAGCUAGUUGGUGGGGUAAAGGCCUACCAAGGCGACGAUCUGUAGCGGGUCUGAGAGGAUGUUCCGCCACACUGGGGCUGAGACACGGCCCAGACUCCUACGGGAGGCAGCAGUGGGGAAUAUUGGACAAUGGGCGGAAGCCUGAUCCAGCCAUGCCGCGUGUGUGAAGAAGGCCUUUUGGUUGUAAAGCACUUUAAGCGAGGAGGAGGCUACCUGGAUUAAUACUCUAGGAUAGUGGACGUUACUCGCAGAAUAAGCACCGGCUAACUCUGUGCCAGCCGCCGCGGUAACAC
rnacentral:rRNA from 1 species